UUCGCCGCCACAUCCCGGUACUCUUUUCUCCGCCGCCCUUGAAAGGGAACGUCCUAUGUGAAAGAUAGCACUAGUUGGUCCCUGGAGACUGCUGUCUGGUUGGAGAGUCACCUGCUCCCCUCCAUGGAGGCAGACCAGCAUGAUCAACAGUCGGCUGGAGGGAGUUGGUGGUUACGGUUACAGAAGUCAUCAAAAGAGAGCGCCUGGGGAAUAGGAGUGGCGCUAGGCACUGCAGGGCCUGGAUUCACCUCUACAUCACCAGAGGAACAGAGGAGGAGUUGUUGGUUGAGCCAUCAGAGGAGUUUUAUUAUGGAUGGCUACAGGUCAUGACCUUUCCCAUCUUCUACAUCUGGGUUCUCUUCAUCUGCAUAUGCUUACAUCAAAUGUAGCCUAUGGCUGGCCGGUUAUCCAUUCCAAGGUUUUCUGGAGCACGCUUCCUGUUGAGGAAACGGCAGGAGAAGUUCCACCCCCAUUCAUUUCCAAUGAGGGCACGCAGAGAAACGUGAGGGGGAUUGUGGGAAGCUGAGCGUUAAAACCUCUGCUAGAGGAACGGACGAAAAGGUUCAGUUUUAUUCAAAUUUCAAGCGAUGCGAAGCAUUGGAGCAAAGUGUUGUCAAGAGGAGGUACCGCCUCUGGUCAAAACCCACUGUCAGAGUAGGAGGUUCUGGUCUUUAUUUAUUCCAUGGCCACGUUUGGAUGGAGGUGCACGGGAAGCAGUUGACCCUCACCAGGGGUUGACCCUCACAAGGGGUUGACCCUCGCCAGAGGUUGACCCUCACCAGGGGUUGAUCCUCACCAGAGGUUGACCCUCACUAGGGGUUGAUCCUCACCAGAGGUUGACCCUCACCCCUGGUCUCAUCUCUCCAAGCUUAUGCUCUACACAUAUUCAUGCUGGAAGGCUGGCCUGUGCAUCAGUUUCGGGUCCGAACGCUGGAUCGACCCCGACAUCUCCAACCCUGUAUUCGCCUCAUGAGGCACCAGUACUUCUACUUCUUCUGGUUCUCUGUGCAUAUCUUCACCACUGUGGGCGACAUGACUACCUGUUUAUGAUGGCAGACCUGCAGUUCACCAUGCUGGUGUUUGCCUCCAUCAUGGGACAUGCUGGCUAAUCCUACCUCAUCCAAACGUCUUCCAUUUAAGAAUGAUGGAGGCCACUGUUUACUUGGUGACCUUCAACGCUGCAGAAAUGUUUUAGUACCCUU